rnacentral:rRNA from 1 species
CUUUCCCUGAGGGUUUAAUUAGGGAAGGUAAGGCCCUGCCUAAUUUGCUAAAGGAUAAAAAGCGGAUUUUCCUUUAAAUGUAGGGUGAUAAAUUGGGGCCCUUUAAAUUUGGGGGUUCCCGGUUAUUGAAAUGGGGGUUGAACGGAAUAGGAAAAAGCUUGUUCUUCAUUUGGAAAUAUAUUUGAACCUUUUUUCUUUCUCGGUGAAAAGGACCGCGCUUCUUGUUAAAAGACGAGAAGACCCUGUCGAGGCUUGAAUGAAGCUUUCCACUAUGGUAACCGAAAUUUUUAAUUGGGGCAAUUGCGGAAAAGAUAACCUCCGCUUUUAUGUGAGAAUCCAUUUACUUAUGAAUAAAGAAAAAGCUACCGCGGGGAUAACAGCGCAAGAUUGCUUUAGAGGCCUUAUCGACGGCAAUAAUUGCGACCUCGAUGUUGGAUUAAGGUUACUUUUAGGCGCAGAAGCUUAAAUAAGUGGGGCUUGUUCGCCCCUUUAAACCCUU